rnacentral:ncRNA from 1 species
CUGGUUGAUCCUGCCAGUAGCAUAUGCUUGUCUCAAAGAUUAAGCCAUGCAUGUCUAAGUACGCACGGCCGGUACAGUGAAACUGCGAAUGGCUCAUUAAAUCAGUUAUGGUUCCUUUGUUUGCUCGCUUCUCUCCUACUUCGAUAACUGUGGUAAUUCUUGAGCUAAUACAUGGGAGCUGACCACCUUCCUGAGGAAGUGGGGGUAAUUCAUGUUUUUAUCAGAUCAAAACCAACCCUGUCAGCUUCCUCCUGACCCAGCUUGGGGGGGGGCGGGUGCUGGCCCUGUGGAGAUGCAAUGACCCAUUCAAAUAUCUACCCCAUCAACUUUCAAUGCUAGUCGAUGUGCCUACCAUGGUGACCAUGGGUGACAGGAAAUCGGGGUUAAGUUUCAGAGAGGGAGACUGAGAAGCUGCUGCUUCAUCCAAGGAAGGCAGCAGGCAUGUAAAUUACCCACUCCAGACCCACGGGGGUAGUGAUGAAAAAUAACAUUUAUUGAUUUCUAAUUUUACCCGUUAAUAUAUUGGUAAUGGUAUGAAUAAUAAUUAAAAUAAUUUAAUAUAAUAAUUCAAAAAAUCUGGUGGUAAACAAAUACU